rnacentral:pre_miRNA from 1 species
CGCCCUCACUGUCUCAGCUGUGUCUAUCAGUCACAUUGGUACACCUUUGUGACUGAUAGACACAGCUGAGACAGUGAGAG